rnacentral:lncRNA from 1 species
CGAGGAGGGCGGGGCCACGCAGAGGAUAGCGGGCACCGGGUGAGGCGAGGCCGCGCAGGAAGAGCGGGGAACCCGGGGAGCGCGAGGAGGGCGGAGCCACGCAGGAAGGGCAGGGCAUGAGUUGAGCCUAAAGCGCGAGGAAGAGGACGAGAAAAAUAACCGUCCGCGACGCCGAGUGGAAGUGGAUUAGAGCCACCAUGAACAGCAAAGGUCAAUAUCCAACACAGCCUACCUACCCUGUGCAGCCUCCUGGGAAUCCAGUAUAUCCUCAGACCUUACAUCUUCCUCAGGCUCCACCCUAUACUGAUGCUCCACCUGCAUACUCAGAGCUCUAUCGUCCAAGCUUUGUUCAUCCAGGGGCUGCCACAGUCCCCACCAUGUCAGCUGCAUUUCCUGGCGCCUCGUUGUAUCUGCCUAUGGCCCAGUCUGUGGCUGUUGGGCCUUUAGGCUCCACGAUCCCCAUGGCUUAUUACCCAGUUGGUCCCAUCUAUCCACCUGGCUCGGCAGUGCUGGUGGAAGGAGGGUACGAUGCAGGUGCCAGAUUUGGAGCUGGUGCCACCACUGGCAGCAUUCCUCCUCCACCUCCUGGAUGCCCUCCCAACGCUGCUCAGCUUGCAGUCAUGCAGGGAGCCAACGUCCUUGUAACUCAACGCAAGGGAAACUUCUUCAUGGGUGGCUCAGAUGGUGGCUACACUAUUUGGUGAGGAGCUGUGGCCACUCCUGUGCCGGGGAAGACAUCACAUACUUCAGCACUUCUCACAAUGUAACUGCUUUAGUCAUAUUAACCUGAAGUUGCCGUUUAGACACAUGUUUUUGGGGUGUCUUUCUGGUGUCCAAACUUUGAGGCACUUUUCAAAUUUAA